UGAACACUGAGAAUCUGAACCAACAGCAACCAUGAGCUUCAUCUUCAUCAUCUUCAUCUGGAUGUUCUCCAGCUGUUUCACAGAAUCAGUUGGUGAAGUGACAGUCACUCAGACGCCUGCAGUGAAACCUGUUCAUCUCAGAGACACAGUUACUAUAUCCUGUAAAACCAGUCCUGAAGUCUAUCAGGGUUGGGGUGUUCAGCCUCUAGCCUGGUACUUACAGAAACCUGGAGAAGCUCCUAAACUCCUGAUUCAUAAAGCAAAUGUCCGUCAGUCAGGAACUCCAUCUAGAUUCAGUGGCAGUGGAUCUAACAGUGAUUUCACUCUGAGCAUCAGUGGAGUCCAGACUGAAGAUGCUGGACAUUAUUACUGUCAGAGUUAUCACUACAUCAACAGUAAACAUGUGUUCACUUUCGGUGGAGGAACUGAACUGACGAUCAGAACCUCCGGGCCCGCCGUGUCUCCCUCCGUGUCUCUGCUGGUCUCUGGAGACUCCUCCGCUCUGCUCUGCCUGCUCAGCUCUUACUCUCCACAGGGGGCGACGGUGAGCUGGACGCUGGACGGGUCAGAGGUCACCGAGGGGGUUCAGACCAGCGCAGAGAGCGAGCGGGGCGGUCUCUACAGUCGCAGCAGCGUCCUGAGCCUCAGCAAAGCACGCUGGGAAGGCAGAGAGCGCUUGGUCUGCAGAGGAACACAUGCCGGAGCUGCUCACGAGGCCUCGUUCCUCAAGAGCUCCGAGUGCUGAUGUUUCUCCAGUGAAGACCAGCGUAUCUGAGCGGCACGUGAUUUACAGCUCAAUACUGAAGCAGUCUGUCAAUGUGCUGCCAUUGCUGUUCAUUCAAUAAAGCUUCAUCUGAACGC